rnacentral:rRNA from 1 species
UACGUAGGGGGGCAAGCGUUGUCCGGAUUUAUUGGGCGUAAAGAGCGUGUAGGCGGCUUUACAGGUCCGUUGUGAAAACUCGAGGCUCAACCUCGAGACGCCGGUGGAAACCGUAAGGCUAGAGUCCGGAAGAGGAGAGUGGAAUUCCUGGUGUAGCGGUGAAAUGCGCAGAUAUCAGGAGGAACACCCGUGGCGAAAGCGGCUCUCUGGGACGGUACUGACGCUGAGACGCGAAAGCGUGGGGAGCGAACAGG